rnacentral:rRNA from 1 species
CCCUAAACAUGGAUUUUUCUNUACGUACAUAAAAAUCCGCCAGAGAAAUUUUUAAUCACAAAUUUAAAUCUCAGGGGUUUUGCGGGUGUCUCAAAUCCAUCUAGGGGAGCCUUUUCUAUAAUCGAUACUCCACGAUCUCCCUCACCACCCAUGGCCCNCCAGCCUAUAUCCCCCCCUCUUCAGCCUACCUUAUGAAGGUUUAAAGGUAGGNAUAAUNGCCAACAAGCACUAACAAGUCAGGUCAGGGUGUAGCCCAUGGGGNGGAAGAAAUCGNCUACAUUUUCUCCCAAAGGAAAUCUCCUUAACAGGAGGGGCCCUGGAAUUAGGACCCAUAAAGCAGGAUUUAGCAGUAAUGUAAGAACAGAGAGCCUACAUUAAUUAGGACUGAGAC